rnacentral:lncRNA from 1 species
CUAGAAUACUAUCGAUAGUAAACGAGCCGUUUUACUACCUAUUUGUUUUCGAUGAUAGAGCUUCCAAAUUGACGAUCGACUCCGUUAAAUAUGAUCUAAACCAUUUAAACUACCUAGAAAUCAAAUUUCACGCACUUUCGAUAUUGUUCUUUUAUCCAUCAAGUGAACAGAAAAAUAAAUGGCUGAAAAUGAAUAUUCUUUAAAAAAUGAUGAUAGGAGUGUUGUAAUCAAGAUCAAGAGUAUAGAUCUUGUUUUAAAUAGUUUAAAAAAUUUUCUAACAAAAAUUCAAUUGAUUUAGAUAUCCUUACGCCGUUAAACGAGAAAACAUCUCUUAUCGACCAUUAAAAUUAUAAAUUUUGAAACCCUUUGAUCAUUAGGCAAAUGAUGUCGAAAAGAUUUGAAAUUUAGUUUCUAGAUACUUCAAGUGGUAUAGAUCAUAUUCAACGGAGCUGAUCGUCAAUCUGGAAGCUCUAUCAUUGAAAACAAAUAGAUAGUAAAACGGCUCGUUUACUAUCGAUAGUAUUCUAGCUCAACUAUAUAUAUAUAUAUAUAUAUAUUAUAUGUCCAUAUAUUGUGUGUGUGUGUGUGUGUGUGUGUAUUAACUCUUACACAAAAACCCCCUCUAAACCCUCAAUUAAUACACAACCCCAUCAACUAACACGAUCAUCUCGCACGAUAGUUCCUCCACCAGGUUUCAUGUGAUCGAAAGCACAAUAUAAUGAGCAUCUCGUCGAAAACUCUCUCAAUCACGAAACUCUCUCACCAUUUCAUCUCAAUGCCAUAUCGCACAGGAAAACUCGAAUUUCACGAAAUUUGAGACGUAAUAUCUUCUCUGAGUCUCUUCCAUGUAAAUCCCUCCACUCGCCAAAACUGUAAAAUUUUUCACAUAAAAUGAAAGCCUUUUCGCAAAGCGUUCC